rnacentral:lncRNA from 1 species
CAACACAAAUAUUUACACAUGUACACAAACGCACAUAUUUUACCCACAAUCCCCCUGUGAUCAGAUCAGAUCAGAUCAGAUCAGAUCAGAUCAGUGCUGCAGCUCUGACUCUCUGACAACAAAGAAGCUCCUCCUCCAAACUCAGCAAUGAGGAGGGAAGGGGGGCGGGGUGGCCCUGCUCUCUGUAAAGACUCUUGAACACGUCUGCGUCUGACCACUCCCCCCCCGGACCGCUCUUCCCCUCUGGACUGUUUCAGGGUGGUGAAGGAGGAGAUCAGCGACGACGGCGCUCUGCUGCCCUGUGUGAACGGACGCGUGGUGUGCUGGGUGAGACGCACGCUCACAAACAUUGGACCGGUUCUGGUUCUGGUUCUUCCUGCUUCAGGUGUCCCCCCCCCCCUUUCUCCCAGGUGGUGUCAGCUGACAGCUGUUUGGAUUUUCGAGGUUCAGACCUCCAGUCCUUGGCCACGCCCUCCAGCCUCGCCCCUCCCCCCAUAGAAAGGACGGGGGGGAUCGGAGACUCCAGACCUCCGUCUUUCCACGCCGCCGCGGUCAGCCAGGACGACCUGCAGCCGUCAGAGUGUCGUUCUGGUCUACGGCCACCGGGGGAGCUGCAGUGGAGCCACGAGGGCGUCCGAGGUGGUUCUCUGAACAGUCAUGACCGCCCCCCAGAGCAGCUGGAGGCGGGACCGGCCAGUGGAGGGGGCGGGUCCAACCGACAGAGCAGCGAGAUGGAGAGCAGCAGCCUGUGCUCGUCCGAGGAGGACUCUAGAGAGAGGUGGGCGGGGCUAACAUCCCCUUCACUUCCCAGCAUGCCGUUCUGUCCUCUGGUCACAUCAGACCCGACGUUCUCUUUCAGAACCUUUCUUUUCUAGCAGAACCACACAUUUCAAGGCCCAGAAUGCUCCCCCAGCAUAGAACUUUGGUACCACUCAGAACCGCAGACUGGUGUGUGAGUGGACCCAGUUGUCAUGGCAACCUCUCUGAGACGCAGGUCAGUUUGUGUCAUGUGACCCCAUAGAACCAGCAGCUGAGGCAGAUUCCCCCGCCCCAGGGGGUGGAUCUUCUGCCCCAGUAAACCUUUUCAUGCACCUUUCUGUCCUGAGCUCUGAUUGGAGGCUGCGGGUCACAUGACUGCGGCUCUGCUGGUGCAGCAGAUAGAAGGCUCUCCUCUGUAGGACUGUUCCGUCGGUUCUGUCAGGUGAGGUUCUCUGGAAUGUCAGCUGGUCCGGCCCGGCUUCCAGUUCCAAGCUUUGUUUUUCCGGGUUCUCCAGGUUUUCCUGGUUUUGUUUUCCUCACAAUCCUGGAUCUGUUUUUAUCCUCCAUCGUUUCCGGUUUCUUCUUUCAGUCCAGAGGAUCGUGACCUCCAUCGAUUUCAGGAACGUUUGUGUUUGUUUAUGUUUCCUUUUGUUUGUAUGUGUGGAUCCAACAACCACGGACGCUCCGCAACAGACCGCCACCGGUCCAAUGACGGUCCGCCAUCGGUCCAGUGACUGUCCGCCAUCGGUCCAAUGACGGUCCGCCAUCGGUCCAGUGACUGUCCGCCAUCGGUCCAGUGACUGUCCGCCAUCGGACCAGUGACUGUCCGCCAUCGGACCAGUGACGGUCCGCCAUCGGUCCAGUGACUGUCCGCCAUCGGUCCAAUGACGGUCCGCCAUCGGUCCAGUGACUGUCCGCCAUCGGUCCAGUGACUGUCCGCCAUCGGUCCAGUGACUGUCCGCCAUCGGACCAGUGACUGUCCGCCAUCGGACCAGUGACGGUCCGCCAUCGGUCCAGUGACUGUCCGCCAUCGGUCCAAUGACGGUCCGCCAUCGGUCCAGUGACGGUCCGCCAUCGGUCCAGUGACUGUCCGCCAUCGGACCAGUGACGGUCCGCCAUCGGUCCAGUGACUGUCCGCCAUCGGUCCAAUGACGGUCCGCCAUCGGUCCAGUGACUGUCCGCCAUCGGUCCAGUGACUGUCCGCCAUCGGUCCAGUGACUGUCCGCCAUCGGUCCAGUGACUGUCCGCCAUCGGACCAGUGACUGUCCGCCAUCGGUCCAGUGACGGUCCGCCAUCGGUCCAGUGACUGUCCGCCAUCGGUCCAGUGACUGUCCGCCAUCGGUCCAGUGACUGUCCGCCAUCGGUCCAGUGACUGUCCGCCAUCGGUCCAGUGACUGUCCGCCAUCGGUCCAGUGACUGUCCGCCAUCGGUCCAGUGACUGUCCGCCAUCGGACCAGUGACUGUCCGCCAUCGGACCAGUGACGGUCCGCCAUCGGUCCAGUGACUGUCCGCCAUCGGUCCAGUGACUGUCCGCCAUCGGACCAGUGACUGUCCGCCAUCGGACCAGUGACGGUCCGCCAUCGGUCCAGUGACUGUCCGCCAUCGGACCAAUGACGGUCCGCCAUCGGUCCAGUGACUGUCCGCCAUCGGUCCAAUGACGGUCCGCCAUCGGUCCAGUGACUGUCCACCAUCGGUCCAGUGACUGUCCGCCAUCGGUCCAGUGACUGUCCGCCAUCGGUCCAAUGACGGUCCGCCAUCGGUCCAGUGACUGUCCGCCAUCGGUCCAGUGACUGUCCGCCAUCGGACCAGUGACUGUCCGCCGACGGUCCAGUGACUGUCCGCCAUCGGUCCAGUGACUGUCCGCCGACGGUCCAGUGACUGUCCGCCAUCGGUCCAGUGACGGUCCGCCAUCGGUCCAGUGACGGUCCGCCAUCGGUCCAGUGACUGUCCGCCAUCGGUCCAGUGACUGUCCGCCGACGGUCCAGUGACUGUCCGCCAUCGGUCCAGUGACGGUCCGCCAUCGGUCCAGUGACGGUCCGCCAUCGGUCCAGUGACGGUCCGCCAUCGGUCCAGUGACGGUCCGCCAUCGGACCAGUGACUGUCCGCCAUCGGUCCAGUGACGGUCCGCCAUCGGACCAGUGACUGUCCGCCAUCGGUCCAGUGACGGUCCGCCAUCGGACCAGUGACUGUCCGCCAUCGGACCAGUGACUGUCCGCCAUCGGACCAGUGACUGUCCGCCAUCGGUCCAGUGACGGUCCGCCGACGGUCCAGUGACGGUCCGCCAUCGGUCCAGUGACGGUCCGCCAUCGGUCCAGUGACGGUCCGCCAUCGAUCCAGUGACUGUCCGCCAUCGGUCCAGUGACGGUCCGCCAUCGGUCCAGUGACGGUCCGCCAUCGGGCCCUGACAGUCGUCUGCUAACAGUCUGUUAACGUCAUCUGCUGAUGGUCGCCGCCGACGGUCCAAUGACGGUCGUCCAAUGACGUCGUCCAAUGACGGUCGUCCAAUGACGGUCCAAUGACGGUCCAAUGACGGUCGUCUUCCUGUCUUUGUGUCACGCAGGUUCAGUCGGUCCACAGAGCCCAGCGGCUCCUCGCCACGACUCAUCCGCCGACAUCGGCGUCGCCACCGAGCGGCUACGGAUGGAGAGGGUACGUGCACGCACACAUGUGCACACACACAGCCUCCUUAGGACCAUGACUGGACCCGGGUUGUGUUUUCUGAACCAUUUGGG